rnacentral:siRNA from 1 species
UAUAUUCCAUGUGACAUUC